rnacentral:lncRNA from 1 species
UACAUGUUAUUCUCUUUAGGAUAUGCUACAAGAGGUGUUUGAGCUUUAUAUGAAAGGACACUGAGCCUAUUAAACGAUCUUUAGGACUUUGUUUCUUUCACUCUGUUCUUGUGAUUUAUCAAAUAAUGCCAAAGGAAAGUUUGUUAGCUUAACAAAAGUUUCUAUAUAUCAUACUUAUGAAUAUGUAGUUGUGAUUUCUCUAUAAGAUGUCACGAAAAGGUAGAAAGUGUGUGCUUGCAUGCAAGGACAUUAAAUGUAUUAUCUGAUUUUUCGGUUUAUUCUCUCAAAUCCUCUCAUUUGAAUCACUAAUAGUUCCAAAUGUAU